GACAGAGGCCCCGAGCGUUAGGCGGAAUCACUGGGCUUAAAGCGCGUGUAGGCGGAGGGCUAAGUACCUUGUGAAAUCCCCCGGGCUCAACCCGGGAACUGCUCGGUAUACUGGCCUUCUUGAGGCAUCUAGGGGCGAGCGGAACAAACGGUGGAGCGGUGAAAUGCGUAGAUAUCGUUUGGAACGCCAACGGAGAAAUCAGCUCGCUGGGGAUGUCCUGACGCUGAGACGCGAAAGCCAGGGGGAGCAAACGGG
rnacentral:rRNA from 1 species